rnacentral:snRNA from 1 species
AAGUAUGCAGGGGAUCUGGUUGGGACAUCCACCACGUGUGGAUUGCUAGGAUCUAUCUGGCCAAGCUCCCUGUCUAGGCAGUGUCCCCUUCCUCUUCACUCCCUCAGGGCUUCUUUCAGGACUGCACACCUGUUGGAGAGGAUGAUCUUGGCAGAGAGAGGGAAUGUCCUACUGGGAUG